rnacentral:rRNA from 1 species
UACGUAGGGGGCUAGCGUUGUCCGGAAUCAUUGGGCGUAAAGAGCGUGUAGGCGGUCCGGUAAGUCCGUUGUGAAAGUCAAGGGCUCAACCCUUGAAUGCCGGCGGAUACUGUCGGGCUAGAGUCCGGAAGAGGCGAGUGGAAUUCCUGGUGUAGCGGUGGAAUGCGCAGAUAUCAGGAGGAACACCGAUGGCGAAGGCAGCUCGCUGGGACGGUACUGACGCUGAGGCGCGAAAGCGUGGGGGAGCGAACAGG